rnacentral:rRNA from 1 species
CCUACGGGUGGCUGCAGUGGGGAAUAUUGCACAAUGGGGGAAACUCUGAUGCAGCGACGCCGCGUGAGUGAAGAAGUAUUUCGGUAUGUAAAGCUCUAUCAGCAGGGAAGAAGAAAGACGGUAUCUGACUAUGAUACUCCGGCUAACUACGUGCCAGCACCCGCGGGAAUACGUAGGGGGCAAGCGUUAUCUGGAUUUACUGGGUGGAAAGGGGGCGUAGACGGCUGUGAAAGUCGGAAGGGAAAGCCCAGGGCUCAACCCUGGUACUGCUUUGGAAACUGUGGGGCUAGAGUGCAGGAGAGGAAAGUGGAAUUCCUAGUGUAGCGGUGAAAUGCGUAGAUAUUAGGAGGAACAUCAGUGGCGAAGGCGGCUUACUGGACAGUAACUGACGUUGAGGCUCGAAAGCGUGGGGAGCAAACAGGAUUAGAUACCCGUGUAGUC